rnacentral:lncRNA from 1 species
UCUAUACUAGCCCAGCCCAUCAUGUGAGUGAAUGCCCCAUGACUGUAUAGUUUUCACCUUUUAUUCAAGAACAAGCUCAAGCUGCCCAAGGUUACUUCAAGCCUAUCAAUGAUCCAUUCUCAAACACAUAUAAUUUAGAUUGGAGAAACCACCCUAAUUUUUCUUGGAGAACCAACAGACUCAAGCUCAGACCCAAAUUCUUUCUGUGCAAAACUUUCAAAAUAAGCCCCAAUAUCAGAGUUAUGCCUAUAAUAGAGAUCAACUUAGUCAGCCUAUCCAGUCACCAUAUCACAGUCAACCAUCAUACCCACCUUCUCAACAGACCAAUCUAGCCAACGAU